rnacentral:lncRNA from 1 species
AUGGUUUUACUGUCUAUUUCUUCCUUCAAUUCUCCUAGUUUCUCCAUUAGAAAUUUGGGUGCUAUAUUAUUUGGUGCAUACAUGUUGAUUAGUGAUAUUUCCUCAUUAUCUAAACUCCCUUUUAACAAAAUAUAUUUACCUUCCCUAUCCCUUUUGAUCAGGUCUAUUUUUGCUUUGGCUUUAUCAGAUAUCAUGAUUGCCACUUCUGCCUUCUUUCUGUCAGUUGAGGCCCAGAAGGUCUUACUCCAUCCUUUAAUUCUGACCUUGUGGGUGUCUACCCGCCUCAUGUGUGUUUCUUGGAGACAACAUAUGGUAGGGUUUUGGAGUCUAAUACAUUCUUCUAUUCGUCUACGUUUUAUGGGUGAGUUCAUCCCAUUCACGUUCAACGUUAUGACUGUCACUUGUGGACUUCCUGGCAUUUUGAUAUCCUUCCCUAAUUCUAACCUUUCUUCUUUAGCUCUACCUUUUAGUCCAGUGUUUUACUUUAAAUCAGUCCCCCUUGUACUUCCCUUUCUACCCCCCUCCCUUCUUAUUCCCUCCCUUAUUUUUCCCUGUAGUCUUUUUAAAAUUCCCCCCACCCUCUACCUCCCUUGUACUGCUUCCCUCCCCACCAGUCUGUUUUUUACCCUUCUACUCCCCUAUAGGGCGCAAAUCUAUUCUCUUCCCCAAUGGAUUGGAUUGUUCUUCCCUCUUUGGGUCAUAUCUCCGACCUCUUUACCCUUCCAGUGUAUCGAUGUUCUCCCCCCUCCCGCCAUGAGCUUCUUUGUGACAUAUAAAUUUACCCCCAUUUGUUUCUUUUCCCAUUUUUUUAGUCAUAACCUCUUUUCUUUUUUAGCUUUAGUCAUGCAUAUAUAUAUACAUACACAUGUAUAUGUAUUUAUGCAUGCAUGUAUCUAUAUACCUAUUUAUGUCUUGUCCUUUCAUCCUAUACAGUUUGUCACUGUUCCCUCUGAGUGUAGUUCUUCUAGCUGCUUAGGUGAUAGCAACAGUUUUUUUUUUUUAAUAUAUUUUAUUUGA